AUAUCUCCUUCUGAAAGUCUUUCAAUCUCCUACCCCUUCUCAGCCUAAUGCUGAAAUCCUUAUCUGACACUUCUGCAAUGUCGAGUGCCUUCGAGGUAACUGAAUAAUCCUCUGUACUGCUUUCCUCUAGCAUGAGCACGUUCAACUCGUAGGAAUCAGAAGAAGACAGAGGUUUUGUAGGAUUAUCACCACCCUUUUCUACUUCAUUAGAUCCCACCUGCCUAGAACGAUCUUCAAACCAAGCUGGAUCAGUAAGUGAAAUUCGGACAAGUGAUUCAGCUGCUUCUUGGAUCAAUUUAUCACCUUCAGGUGAAUCUUUCCUUCCCAGGCAAUUGUUCUCAGGUCCAAUGCUUAUUCUUUCUGCUGUUUCCUGCUUGUUCAAUGAGGUUUCCACGGUUUGACGUGCUAUUGAUUUUUCUUCUGACAUCAAACAGCUUGAGUUUCCAACUCCGUGUCCAGAUUGUGCUGUUUUUAUGCUGCUUGAAUCACUACCCGUACUUCUGAUCCCACAUUGCAUCUGCCGGUGUCCAUCUUGACUUGAGUCUUGACAGCUUUUCUUAGAUGAAAAAAGCAGAGCGUCUUUCUCAUCAUCCUCAGAAUCUUUUGCUCGUGCAUUAUCCUCCUGCUGCUCCAGGACAAGACUAUUUG
rnacentral:lncRNA from 1 species